rnacentral:rRNA from 1 species
CUACGGGCUGCUCCAGUGGGGAAUAUUGGACAAUGGGCGCAAGCCUGAUCCAGCAAUGCCGCGUGUGUGAAGAAGGCCUUCGGGUUGUAAAGCACUUUUGUUGGGGAGGAAAGUCUGGUAGCUAAUAACUGCUAGAUCUGACGUUACCUAAAGAAUCAGCACCGGCUAACUCUGUGCCAGCAGCCGCGGUAACACAGAGGGUGCAAGCGUUAAUCGGAAUUACUGGGCGUAAAGGGUCUGUAGGCGGAUUAUUAAGUCGGAUGUGAAAUCCCCGGGCUCAACCUGGGAACGGCAUUCGAUACUGGUAGUCUAGAGUGUGCAAGAGGAUGGGGGAAUUCCUGGUGUAGCAGUGAAAUGCGUAGAGAUCAGGAGGAACAUCAAUGGCGAAGGCACCUUUCUGGGGCAACACUGACGCUGAGAGACGAAAGCGUGGGGAGCAAACAGGAUUAGAUACCCUAGUAGUC